GCCAGGCGUAGUGGUGUGUGCCUGUAGUCCCAGCUACUUGGGAGGCUGAGGUGGGAGGAUUGCUUGAGCCCAGGAGGUUGAGGCUGCAGUGAGCCAAGAUAGCACCGCUGCACCCCAGCCUGUGUGACAAAGCAAGAUCCUGUCUCAA
ensembl:misc_RNA Metazoa_SRP Metazoan signal recognition particle RNA